rnacentral:misc_RNA from 1 species
UCAGGUGGAGCAGGCCUCGCGCUUGCACCUCCCUCCCUUUGCAUACCGUAUACCGUUGCUCGAGCCGGCGGCCCCCGGGCCCCGGCGAGAGACCACAACCAUCUUGUUCCUGAUCGUCUGAGUACCACAUACAACAGAAUA